rnacentral:rRNA from 1 species
UACGUAGGGAGCAAGCGUUGUCCGGAAUCAUUGGGCGUAAAGCGCGCGUAGGCGGCUCGAUCAGUCUGUUGUGAAAGUCAAAGGCUCAACCUUUGAAUGCCGAUGGAUACUGUCGAGCUAGAGUCCGGGAGAGGGAUGUGGAAUUCCAGGUGUAGCGGUGAAAUGCGUAGAUAUCUGGAGGAACAUCGGUGGCGAAGGCGGCAUCCUGGACCGGUAUUGACGCUGAGGCGCGAAAGCCAGGGGAGCAAACGGG